UAGGGAUUCGAACUCUCGGU
rnacentral:tRNA from 1 species